UACGUAGGUGACAAGCGUUGUCCGGAUUUACUGGGCGUAAAGAGCGCGCAGGCGGUCGAUCAAGUCGAGUGUGAAAGCCCCCGGCUCAACUGGGGAGGGUCAUUCGAUACUGAUCGACUCGAAGGCAGGAGAGGGUAGUGGAAUUCCCGGUGUAGUGGUGAAAUGCGUAGAUAUCGGGAGGAAUACCAGUGGCGAAGGCGGCUUCUUGGCCUGUUCUUGACGCUGAGGCGCGAAAGCUGGGGAGCAAACGGG
rnacentral:rRNA from 1 species